UUUAUGCUCUAAGUAACUUUUUUUUUUCCCCAGAACCAGGAAUUGAGCUCAGGACCUUGUGCUUGCCAAGCUGGCAUGGUGCCACUGAACUACCCCCCCAGCCCCUCUAAUUAUUUUAAAGCAGUAUCAGCUACCCUCAGCCCUCCUGCGCAAUCCUUGCUGUCAGACACAUCAUCAGCCCCACCUUCUGCUCCACUGGGACUCCUCCAGGUGGAUGUGACAGCCACAUCCUGAAUUCCAAGACCUUCUUCUCCUGUGGCCCAGACAGCAC
rnacentral:lncRNA from 1 species